UACGUAGGGGGCAAGCGUUGUCCGGAAUUACUGGGCGUAAAGGGCUCGUAGGCGGCCAACUAAGUCAUACGUGAAAUCCCCCGGCUUAACCGGGGAACUGCGUCUGAUACUGGAUGGCUUGAGUUCGGGGAGAGGGAUGCGGAAUUCCAGGUGUAGCGGUGAAAUGCGCAGAUAUCAUUUGGAACACCAAUGGUGAAAACAGCUCGCUGGGAGUGUGCUGACGCUGAGACACGAAAGCCAGGGGAGCGAACGGGG
rnacentral:rRNA from 1 species